rnacentral:lncRNA from 1 species
GGGGAACCAGCGCCGGAUAAAAACGGGGAAGGGAGGGAGGUGAACAGAGCUGAGGGAAACCGGGAAAAGGGGAGCGAUAGAAACCGGAGUAGGGGAAGCCGGGCUCAGGGGAAAAGGGGGUGUUGGAGAGUGGUAGAGCCGGGCUGAGAGAAAAACCAAGCAGGGGAAGCGGCGAUCCGGGGAGAACGGAGAGAGGGAGACCGAGGGCUGUGGGGGUAAGGGGAACCAAAGGGGCUGAAGCGAAAUCGAGGGGAGGGGCAGGUGAAAAUGGAGCCAUGCGAAGGCCGAUGAGGGGGGAAACGGGUAAAAAUGGGGGCGGGAGAAAUAGGUUGGAGGGAAUACUGGCCGAGAAGAAACCUGGGGAGAGCUGGGCUUAGGGGAAAAUGGGGAGGGGGUGGAAGGAAGGUGUAAUAACCGGGUGCUGGGGAGGACGUAAGAAUUGGGGGGUGCGGCGAGGGUCAAGGCUAGGGUAAAACAAGGGGGGCUACUCAAUGGCUCCGGUAAUGGGAGAGGGAAGUGAGGAGAACACGGGGCGGUGGGGAGAGGAGGGCAGGGUGAAAACCGGAGUGGGGGUGGGAACGAGAUAAAAAACGGGGCAGGAGCGAUUCGGAAGAAGACUGUCCCCUUACCUACCUACGGCGACAGCCUCGCCUGUCCCCGUCCCCCUGAGAAACCUGCUCUCCCUGUCUACCCGCAUAGCCUCAAGAAAUGGCUCGCUUGGGUCAGACGCCCCCUUUUUAACAUUCCAGGGCCAGGGCAGGAGUCAUCAUGGAGGCUUUUCAUGCCUGAAAGACCCCAUUUCUUAGUUGUCCGGUCCCCAGUAGUAUCAGUGGCUUGGGGAUUUCUUACUGAGCUCAGCUCAUUGUCCCCAAAAUGCCUCCCCUUACCCCCAACUCGAGCGC